AGAGUUUGAUCCUGGCUCAGGACGAACGCUAGCGGCGCGCUUAACACAUGCAAGUCGAACGCGAACGGUUGACUUCGGUUGGCUUAUUAGAGUGGCGAACGGGUGCGUAACGCGUAGGCAACCUACCCUCGAGUGGGGAAUAAGCCCGGGAAACCGGGUCUAAUACCGCAUACGAUCCCGGGGUCGCAUGAUCUUGGGAUUAAAGCCUUCGGGCGCUUGAGGAUGGACCUGCGUCCUAUUAGCUUGUUGGUGAGGUAACGGCUCACCAAGGCGACGAUGGGUAGCUGGUCUGAGAGGACGACCAGCCACACUGGGACUGAGAUACGGCCCAGACUCCUACGGGAGGCAGCAGUGAGGAAUAUUGCGCAAUGGGCGAAAGCCUGACGCAGCGACGCCGCGUGAGCGACGAAACCCUUCGGGGUGUAAAGCUCUGUUCUGAGGGACGAAUGCUCGUGUUUACACGGGAGGGACGGUACCUCAGGAGAAAGCACCGGCUAACUCCGUGCCAGCAGCCGCGGUAAUACGGAGGGUGCAAGCGUUGUCCGGAUUUACUGGGCGUAAAGGGCGUGUAGGCGGGACGGUCAGUCGGAGGUGAAAGGUGCAAGCUUAACUUGCAGAUUGCCUUCGAUACUGCCGUUCUUGAGUGCAGGAGAGGGCAGUGGAAUUCCCGGUGUAGCGGUGGAAUGCGCAGAUAUCGGGAGGAACACCCGUGGCGAAGGCGGCUGCCUGGCCUGACACUGACGCUAAGGCGCGAAAGCGUGGGGAGCAAACAGGAUUAGAUACCCUGGUAGUCCACGCUGUAAACGAUGGGUACUAGGUGUCGGGAGAUUUCGAUCCUUCCGGUGCCGACGCUAACGCAUUAAGUACCCCGCCUGGGGAGUACGAUCGCAAGGUUGAAACUCAAAGGAAUUGACGGGGCCCCGCACAAGCGGUGGAGCAUGUGGUUUAAUUCGAUUCAACGCGAAGAACCUUACCUGGCCUAGAAUUGCAACUGCAAAUCCUCUGAAAGGAGGACUCCUUCGAGGGUGUUGCAAAGGUGCUGCAUGGCUGUCGUCAGCUCGUGUCGUGAGAUGUUUGGUUAAGUCCAGCAACGAGCGCAACCCUUACCGUUAGUUGCCAUCAGGUCCUUCGGGAUGCUGGGAACUCUAACGGGACUGCCCAGGUUAACUGGGAGGAAGGUGGGGAUGACGUCAAGUCCUCAUGGCCCUUACGGCCAGGGCUACACACGUGCUACAAUGGAUGGUACAGAGGGCUGCAAAACCGCGAGGUCGAGCGAAUCCCAAAAAGCCAUCCCCAAUUCGGAUUGUAGUCUGCAACUCGACUACAUGAAGCUGGAAUCGCUAGUAAUCGCUGAUCAGCAUGGCAGCGGUGAAUACGUUCCCGGGGCUUGUACACACCGCCCGUCACACCAUGGAAGCCGGUAGCACCCGAAGUCGUCGCGCCAACCGCAAGGAGGCAGACGCCGAAGGUGAGAUUGGUGACUGGGGUGAAGUCGAAACAAGGUA
rnacentral:rRNA from 1 species